rnacentral:misc_RNA from 1 species
CAGGGAAAGUUUCACAUCCAGGAAUAGGCCUCACUUUUCCCUUCUUAUCAACUUCAACUGGGUAUUUUAGCAGGUGCCCUCUCAUCUCUGUAACCUCGUCAGCUGUAUAUUGUCUCCAAUUCAUCUCCCCCAGUGUCCUAAUUCUUCUAACACAUUCAAGACUUGAUGGCUUUGUGAAGCAGUCCUCAAUAGCUCCAAUAUGUUCUGCCCAUAGUGACAUCCUAUAUCCAUA